rnacentral:rRNA from 3 species
GGCGAACGGGUGAGUAACACGUGGGCAAUCUGCCCUGCACUCUGGGACAAGCCCUGGAAACGGGGUCUAAUACCGGAUACGACCACUGAGGGCAUCCUCGGUGGUGGAAAGCUCCGGCGGUGCAGGAUGAGCCCGCGGCCUAUCAGCUUGUUGGUGGGGUGAUGGCCUACCAAGGCGACGACGGGUAGCCGGCCUGAGAGGGCGACCGGCCACACUGGGACUGAGACACGGCCCAGACUCCUACGGGAGGCAGCAGUGGGGAAUAUUGCACAAUGGGCGAAAGCCUGAUGCAGCGACGCCGCGUGAGGGAUGACGGCCUUCGGGUUGUAAACCUCUUUCAGCAGGGAAGAAGCGAGAGUGACGGUACCUGCAGAAGAAGCGCCGGCUAACUACGUGCCAGCAGCCGCGGUAAUACGUAGGGCGCGAGCGUUGUCCGGAAUUAUUGGGCGUAAAGAGCUCGUAGGCGGCUUGUCACGUCGGUUGUGAAAGCCCGGGGCUUAACCCCGGGUCUGCAGUCGAUACGGGCAGGCUAGAGUUCGGUA